GUAAAUUUUGGCUAAAUAUUUGACACUGUAGGACCCAGUAUCGUCCAUGCUCUUCAGAGUUGAUUAGUAUUCUGAUUUUAUAAUGAUCAGGACUAUAAUGAAAGUACUACUUCCUAUAAAGCCAUAUUAUUAAAUGUCAGAAAUAUAUUUGAGAGUGUUUCAGAAGUUACUUGAAAUUUUGUCAUAAUCCCAAGCCAAACUUAUGGAACAACUUUUUAUAAAAGUCAAAUCAGUAAGUUAAACAUUCUAACAGUACAGACUAAAGGUGUGCUGACUUCAGACUUUAAUCUGAAGAAUGAGAGUAAGAGAAUAAUACAGACCUUUGAUUUUCGUGAAGCGUUUCUAUAAAGAGUACAAAUCUGAGCUGAGCCAUCCCAGGAAGUGCUCAUUGGCACUGAGUGGCAUGAUGGCGUGCAGAGUGCCAACUGCUCCGGAGGAGCUGCAUAACGCAUCCCCAGUGAGCAUCGCCAGAGACACCUGGGAUUCACUGCACAUUUGAUUCUUGGGUUAAUUUGAUAUUGCUUGUUGGGUGUUCAGAAAUUUUCUGAUAUUGCUUAAAACUUUCUGACCUCCACAUUCAUCACACAACUGCUCAUGGAGUCACGGUCUACAAUUUUAAAAGCUGCUCUAUAACAAUACCAAGACAUUGUCUUAAAAAUCCACUUUUCCAGGAUAAGUUGUUGUCUAUAGUGUAUCUUAGCAUAGCUUUCUUGUGCUGUUGUUCAGGAAGAAAACUGUACAUGGUGGAUAGCAUAAUGGUAUCCACUCAUAUGUAACUUAUGACUCAUCUGAUAAAAGUAUUUUCUCUUACUACUUGUCAGCAUUUUUCUUAGCUCACUAAGUCUAGUUCUGGGUUUCUUUCUUUUUAAUUUCAUGCUCAAGAUUUAUUAAGAGUACAAAUAAAAACAUCAGUCAAUCUUAUUUUUCAAUUAUAAACCAUCUGGAUUUGUUAUAGCCAAGCAAGGAGCUUCAUGAAUUAUAUCCUUAAUCCUUCUUGUCUAAUAUAGCUCCCUGCUAGGAAACAAAGGGCGAUGUUUUAGGACUUAAGAGAUGCCACUGCAACUUUUAUCUAGCAUAUUCCCAUUGAAACUGCAAAGUCAUCCUUUGUGCCUUUCUUUUUCUUUUUAAGAGAGAAAUUAUUGAUAAAAUACAGAGUAUUUUCAUACCAAACAUACUAUGGAAACCUUUUCUCUCUUACUGCUUUUUGAAUAGUAAUGUUCUUCUACUGCCUUGCCACCCUGAGUGCCCAAUCUCUUCUGCAUAGCAAUGUUCAAAGAGGAUUUCACUUUAAAGUGGUGUUGGUUCAUUGCCGACAUCUGCAAAGGUGUAUUUGUAGCAAGUCAAAGAAUAAAAUCAGUCAGUGUUAUAUAUAGUGCAAGAUCGCCCAGCUGCCCCAUGUCUGUCUUAGUCAAGAUCUCAUCAAAAAGAGGCCUGAGCCUAAUUCCAUUUUAUUCUGUGUUCUCUAGAAUAAGUGACAGAGGGUACCAGUCACAGGAUAGAGCCUUAUAUCCAAGAGUUUCUCUUCAGCAGUCUACCUCCUGAGAAGCCUCUCAUAUUUUAAUUUUUUAAGCUUUCUCUUUGGAGUCAGUGUCCUGUAUUUGAUCCCUAGAACCUCCAAAACCAAAAAAGGAAAGAAAAAAAGAAGAAAAAUCUGCCUUUUAGUACAAUAGAUUUAUCUUGUAGUUGUUUGGAUUUUGGAUUUUGAUCUUGUUUCUUGUUGUUUGUUUGGGGUUUUUGUUUGUUGUUUUGGCUUUUUGUUUUUCUUAAUUUUGGGUUGUUUUUUUUUUUUUUUUUUUUGUCUGUUUGUUUUUUGAGAAGGGUGGGGGUGGGGUGGGUCCAGGUAGCUCCGGCUAUCCUGGAACUCACUCUAUGGAAUAAACUAGCCUCAAACUCAAGAGAUCCACCUGCUAAAGCCUCCCAAGUGCUGGGAUUAAAGGUUUCUAAAUCCUUAACCUAUCUCACAAAUCACCAAAGAGCCUGUGGCCUUUUAAGAUAUGAAUCUGAGCUCAUUGGUAGGUUGAAGUAAAUUGCAUUGUCAGAUAGCCAAUACCCAAUAUUUUCAAAUUGUCUCUAGUUUGCUCUCUAUAAGUUGCCUAC
rnacentral:lncRNA from 1 species